rnacentral:lncRNA from 1 species
UUACCUUGGAUGAUUACCGUAUAAGCCCUAAUAUCCUUCUAGGGCAUUGCAACUAAAAUUCCUCUGGCGCGAUGCUCGACUUCGCGAUCCGCUAUGCGUUGGCCAUCGCGCUGGUCUUCUCCUGCAUAGCUCUCGGUAAUUCGCCAUUACAUUUGGAUCGAUCCAUUACCCCAAUCUCUUUCAGGAUGGUUCGUGGCGUGGAAGCUGCUGCUCGUUCACAUUCCUCUUGUCCAAGAGAUUUGCGGCUUGCGG